rnacentral:rRNA from 1 species
UACGUAGGGUGCGAGCGUUAAUCGGAAUACUGGGCGUAAAGCGUGCGCAGGCGGUUUUGUAAGCCAGAUGUGAAAUCCCCGGGCUUAACCUGGGAAUGGCAUUUGGGACUGCAAGGCUUGAGUGCGGCAGAGGAGACUGGAAUUCCUGGUGUAGCAGUGAAAUGCGUAGAUAUCAGGAGGAACACCGAUGGCGAAGGCAGGUCUCUGGGCUGACACUGACGCUCAUGCACGAAGCGUGGGAGCAACAGGAUAGAACCCA